AUUGAACGCUGGCGGCAGGCCUAACACAUGCAAGUCGAGCGAGCGGCGGACGGGUGAGUCAUGUCUGGGAAACUGCCUGAUGGAGGGGGAUAACUACUGGAAACGGUAGCUAAUCCCGCAUACCAUCAGAUGUGCCCUGAUGGGAUUAGCUAGUAGGUGGGGUAACGGCUCACCUAGGCGACGAUCCCUAGCUGGUCUUAGAGGAUGACCGGCCACACUGGAACUGAGACACGGUCCAGACUCCUACGGGAGGCAGCAGUGGGGAAUCUUGCACAAUGGGCGAAAGCCUGAUGCAGCAAUGCCGCGUGUAUGAAGAAGGCCUUCGGGUCGUAAAGCACUUUCAGCGGGGAGGCGUUACCCGAACAAGAAGCACCGGCUAACUCCGUGCCAGCAGCCGCGGUAAUAC
rnacentral:rRNA from 1 species